AGAGAAAGUCGGUUAUCUUGGUGUUGUAUGAUAUCUUUGCAGCACCAAAUUAAAGUUUUUAUUAGGCAAUUAUUUCACGACUAUUAUUAUAUAACCUCGGGGGGAAAAAAUACUGAGGACCUCGUGAUCUCAAUGGGUCGCAGGGAGCCUAUUCCAGGGGACAUGGGGCACAAGGCAGGGGACACCCUGAAUGUACAAUAGUGCACUAUGGACAAUUUAGAGAUGCUAAUCACGCAUGUCUUUGGACUGAGGGAGGAAACCAGAGUAUCCAGAGUCAAACCCAAACACACCCCACCAUUCUGUUUUCCAGGAUCGCUUUCUUUUCAAGCGUGGUGUAAAGGUAUGUUCAUCAACAGCAUCAAAAUGAGUAGUGAGUCUGCUGGUGCUUUGCCUGCCUUAUGCUGAAAUGGUUUUCAAAGGAGACAUUAUCUUGCAUAAUUUAACACAUUUCCCUGUGCUCUUUAAAAGACAUCUGUGAAGAAUGCAAUAAAAUUCACCCUUAAUUAAGCUCUUGGAUUGGUGAUAAUUUUGUAUGCUUAUGACUUCUGCUCAUUGGGGGGGGGGGGGCUGACAUUUUAUAGUGGAGAGGACCUCAGUAAUAUUGACAGCAGCGGAUUGAAACUAUGAGACUAAAGACAGUACAAAACAAAAUCCAGCUCAGCUGGA